rnacentral:rRNA from 1 species
GAUGAACGCUGGCGGCGUGCCUAAUACAUGCAAGUCGAGCGAACAGAUGAGAAGCUUGCUUCUCUGAUGUUAGCGGCGGACGGGUGAGUAACACGUGGGUAACCUACCUAUAAGACUGGGAUAACUCCGGGAAACCGGGGCUAAUACCGGAUAAUAUUUUGAACCGCAUGGUUCAAUAGUGAAAGACGGUUUCGGCUGUCACUUAUAGAUGGACCCGCGCCGUAUUAGCUAGUUGGUAAGGUAACGGCUUACCAAGGCGACGAUACGUAGCCGACCUGAGAGGGUGACGGGCCACACUGGAACAGAGACACGGGCCAGACUCCUACGGGAGGCAGCAGUAGGGAAUCUUCCGCAAUGGGCGAAGGCCUGACGGAGCAACGCCGCGUGAGUGAUGAAGGUCUUCGGAUCGUAAAACUCUGUUGUUAGGGAAGAACAAAUUUGUUAGUAACUGAACAAGUCUUGACGGUACCUAACCAGAAAGCCACGGCUAACUACGUGCCAGCAGCCGCCGUAA